ACUCUGGUGGAAGCCCGC
rnacentral:snRNA from 1 species